rnacentral:tRNA from 1 species
GUUAGGGUUGUUCAGUUGGUUAGAAUGCCGCCCUGUCACGGCGGAGGUCGCGGGUUCGAGUCCCGUCCGGUCCGCAA